rnacentral:rRNA from 1 species
UACGUAGGGUGCGAGCGUUAAUCGGAAUUACUGGGCGUAAAGCGUGCGCAGGCGGUUAUGUAAGACCGAUGUGAAAUCCCCGGGCUUAACCUGGGAACUGCAUUGGUGACUGCAUUGCUGGAGUAUGGCAGAGGGGGGUGGAAUUCCACGUGUAGCAGUGAAAUGCGUAGAUAUCAGGAGGAACACCGAUGGCGAAGGCAGGUCUCUGGGCUGACACUGACGCUCAUGCACGAAAGCGUGGGGAGCAAACAGG